CGUCAAUUGGGGGUGCUAGUGCUAUACCGGUGGAUCUCCAAAGACAAUAAAGAGACGAAGAGCUCUGCUGAAGUUAAAGAGCUGUUUAUCUCUUUUUCACUCUGUUUAUAACUCACUCUUACAGAAAUAGAGAGAAACAGGAGCUGAUCUGCUGAAGGUGUGUGAGGGCUGUGUGAAGGGCAGUGUUGACUGCGUCGUCUGUGGACCGGAUCCAAUGGUAUGCAAACUGGAGAGGAUGUAUAGUGUUCGGAAUGGUCUCUUGGAUAUGAGUCAUGACUAUUCUCUCAAAGCACUUAAUCACAUUUGGGGUGAGUGCAACAGGGUGAUAGUCAUUUAGGCAGGUCACAACGCUUUUCUUUGGGAGGGGCACGACGGUGGUGGUCUUGAAGCAGGAUGGCGAGCACAUAGCAUGGACCGAACUUCACCGUUUAUCCAAGGUUUCUAGUUGGGAUAUUUUUUGCAGCGCUUUGUAGGAAAAAUGCUUUCAAUGCAGCUGCUGACGUAGCCUGUUACCCCAGAAGCAUAGUCCUCUAGAUCAACAGUACAGUCCUCUCUCACAGGAGCAGUUCUGAACACAUCCCAGUUUGUACUGCCAAAGCAGUCCUGAAGCACUAGAUCAGUUUCUUCGUUCCACACCAGUUUUGCUCACUGGAAUUGCUUGCUUGAGGAGUUGUGUGUAUGCUGGGUAGAAGAACACGGAGAUGUGGUUGGACUGUCCGAAGUGCGGCCGAGGCACAGCCCUGUAGGCCCCCUCACGUUGCUGUAGACUUGGUCAAGUAUGUUGCUCUCCCUCGUCGGAAAGCUCACGUGCUGAUGAUAUUUGGGGAGGACAGUCCUCAGGUUGCAGUGGUUGAAGUCGCCGGCAACAAUGAACACGGCGUCCGGGUGCACGGCCUCUUGUUUACUAAUGGCAUCAUGCAGCAGCCCUAGCUCCAUGGCCGAGUUCGCAUGUAGCAGGAUGUAAACAGCCAGAAUAAACAAAGCACUGAACUCUCUAGGCAGAGAAGAGGAUGUGCACUUCACCAUCAGCAGUUCUAAGUCAGAUGAACAGUGUUUUCCAACAGUCCUUACAUCGGAACACCACUUGUUGUUCACAUAGAUGCAGACACCGCCGCCUUUGUUCUUCCCUGAUGCUGCCGUCCGGUCCCCGCGGUGGACGGAGUGCAUUUCUAACUGGAUCGCUGAGUCUGGCAUGCUGUCCAAGAGCCAGGUUUCCAUAAAAAUAAGAGUACAGCACUCUCUGAUCUCACGCUGAGUUGUUAUUCUGGUUCUCAGCUCAUCCAGCUUGUUUUCAAGGGAGCGAACAUUAGCUAGCAACAAGCUAGGUAGCGGUGGCUGCGUAGCCCUAGCCUUUAGCCUAGCAUGUAGCCCACCUCUCUUGCUCCACUUCCGCUUUGGCCGCUCUGUUCGUCGGCUGCGCUGCUCACCCGAGGCCAGUGCUGCUGGGCCUUGCCGGCUGGUGCUGGUGGAGUAUGAGCGUAAAAGAAAGUCCGAAAGGCUAAAGGUAAGUUCAUGAUGAACUUUACUCAUCUCCAGGAGUGCCUCUCUACUGUAACUAACUGUUCCGUACGUAUACUGUACAUUUAAAAAAAAAAUACUAAUGUUAAAAUAAACAAUAAAUAGCAUUGGUUGCAGGAGGAACACACAAAGACGUCUGCCAUGGUGGGCACCAUCUUGGAACCAUCUUGAAAAGCAACUGGUCACUUAAUAUUCCCAUUUUGUGAUCGUUUUUUAAGUACUGUUAAAAGUCACUGUUUUAGAAUUUAGUGAUUAAGCUUUGUUUGUGGGUCCAUCUGACUGUGAGGUGAGGUGGAGACUCCCCCUUCCCAUGUGCAGAUGGAGGAGUUGGGUGAACCUGUUAUAGUUGUGCUUGGGCUAGCGUUUUGCCUUUGGUAUUCUGCUCUCUUUGUAGGGGUCAGAGAUGUGACAAGCAUUAAAAGCCCACUGUAAAGGAGUUGGAGGCUGAGGCAGGAAGCCUGACUGUGAGAGUUGGAAUUACAGAUGAAGCCAUUCUCCUCUCUUCCAACAACCCAGGUGGUUCCAGAAAGCAAAACUUCAAAUGGGCAAGCGUAUUUAAACGUUUUAGUUCAGAGACUGCAGUGAUUGUAGACUGUGCAUGUGCAGCGCUGGCGCCAUUUCUAACUAAAAUUGUUACACAUUUCACACAUUUGUAUUUGCUCAUUCACUGUUUGCUAUAUUUGGCUUUUUUUUUUUACCUUAUUCAUAAUCUUUCAAGUAUAUUUCUUUUCCUGAAUAUUUUUUUUUUUUACCUUAAUUCUGCAUUCUUUGCAACAGUUAUUCAUUUUCUAGUUUUUAACUAACCUUUACUUUUCUCUGGGGAUGCUGAGAAAAUGUUGGCUGCCACCAAACUCGAGCUCUGGACGAUGAGCAGCCCAGGACACCUCAUAUGCAGCAGUUUCAGGACCAACAUGUCCAGUGAUGACUUCUACUCAGCCGGAUGGAGCACUGUCCAUGGCUAACUUUGACUUUACACAUGCACCUCAGCAGGGCUGGGAAUGCCAGUGUAGCCAAGGGAAAAAGAUGAUCUUCACCAAUUCCUCUUCCACCAGACUUCACCUCCAGUAACCAGUUGAAAGUUCUCUGCCUGGUUUAGCGCCUUAGAUAAUAACUCAAGACAGUGUUGUAAUAACCAGAGAUAAUCAGACAUCUGAAAGUAGCUGUCUCUAGAGGUAAGGCAGCUACCUCUUUUUUUCCUUGUGCCUGGGUUUUGGAUAUUUCCAAGUGCUUUCCCAUGGCUCUGAGCAAACAUGAAGACGUCAGCACCAUGGUUAUUCACGCAGGGAUGAAUGACAUCUUAUCCAAUCAGAGUGAAGCCCUGAAGGACCAUUUCGGAUUACUUCCAAUUUACUUCUGUUUUAAGUUGAAAGUGAGAACAGCAUCAACACAUCACUGUGCAGUUCAGACGGAGAUUUCCAUCAGGACCCUUUUCAUCUCACUCAGCACAGCAGAGCUAAUCCUGGAACGGAAUCAUGGCUCUUCACAGUUCUCAGAAGAUGAAACUUGAAAACUGCAUCUUCUCUUCAACUUUGACAGCUUACUGAUUGCUGCAUUAUUAAGUGACAUCAAAU